UGGGGAAUUUUGGACAAUGGACGAAAGCCUGAUCCAGCAAUGCCGCGUGUGUGAAGAAGGCCUUCGGGUUGUAAAGCACUUUUGUCCGGAAAGAAAUCCUUGGCUCUAAUACAGUCGGGGGAUGACGGUACCGGAAGAAUAAGCACCGGCUAACUACGUGCCAGCAGCCGCGGUAAUACGUAGGGUGCAAGCGUUAAUCGGAAUUACUGGGCGUAAAGCGUGCGCAGGCGGUUUGCUAAGACCGAUGUGAAAUCCCCGGGCUCAACCUGGGAACUGCAUUGGUGACUGGCAGGCUAGAGUAUGGCAGAGGGGGGUAGAAUUCCACGUGUAGCAGUGAAAUGCGUAGAGAUGUGGAGGAAUACCGAUGGCGAAGGCAGCCCCUGGGCCAAUACUGACGCUCAUGCACGAAAGCGUGGGGAGCAAACAGGAUUAGAUACCCUGGUAGUCCACGCCCUAAACGAUGUCAACUAGUUGUUGGGGAUUCAUUUCCUUAGUAACGUAGCUAACGCGUGAAGUUGACCGCCUGGGGAGUACGGUCGCAAGAUUAAAACUCAAAUGAAUUGACGGGGUCAUAGCUGUUUCCU
rnacentral:rRNA from 1 species